CCGCCUCUUGGUUUAGUUCACAUGUCUUGAAUUACUUUGAUCCUUUUGGUAACAUCAAACUGGGUUCCAUAGAAGUAACUGCUAACUGGGUAUGACCUUGUGUGAGGAAUCUACAGCAGCACUUCAAAACUCCCAGGUUGUUUUCAUCAGCAAGCUUACAGCUGACCACAUGGUGUUACUCGAUAAUACAACAUUGUACGAUGCACCUGAGAUUCCAAUGGAUACCUGUCGAAGCGAUGUGGUCAUCAGCAUGUAUGCUCUCAAUCUUCUGGUAGAGCAUUUUCCCUUAAACGAUGCUACUGUCACAUGAUGCAUAUCAUUAUUUUGUUGGUUGGUAAUUUGACCUACACAACACUUGCUGAUAUUAUCCUUUCCAGGAUGCAAAAUGAUUCUUCAUUUUGGGGUGCCAACUAUGCUAGCUUUAUAUUGCUGAAUGUAGGAGCUUAUUUUGUGUUCCCAUGUCUAUGAUAUGCAUGCUCUGCCGGUUCCCUGCAAGCGCUUUCGGCGAUGACCUCAAGUUCUGCUGCUAGGCCGUGAAUGUGUUGGUCCUUCUCACCGUCCACCGAUGAUGGUGCCCAAGAGAAGUCAGGGAAGGAGAAAAGGAUGUUGUUGUCGCGUGGUCGUCAGAACGACUGGCCGUGGACGCAGCCAUGCACUGGAUGCCAUCAAUGGCUAGCUGUGGACGAGCACCUCGCCGCCUCCGCAAAAUAUGAAUGCACGGGAUUCUGCUACUAACAUU
rnacentral:lncRNA from 1 species